UCUAGGUCGGGGACAACAGUUAGAAAUGACUGCUAAUACCGGAUGUGCCGGAAGUGAAAGAUUUAUUGCCUGGAGAUGAGCUCGCGUCUGAUUAGCUAGUUGGUGGGGUAAGGGCCUACCAAGGCGACGAUCAGUAGCUGGUCUGAGAGGACGAUCAGCCACACUGGGACUGAGACACGGCCCAGACUCCUACGGGAGGCAGCAGUGGGGAAUUUUCCGCAAUGGGCGAAAGUGACGGAGCAAUACCGCGUGAGGGAGGAAGGCUCUUGGGUUGUAAACCUCUUUUCUCAAGGAAGAACACAAUGACGGUACUUGAGGAAUAAGCAUCGGCUAACUCCGUGCCAGCAGCCGCGGUAAUACGGAGGAUGCAAGCGUUAUCCGGAAUGAUUGGGCGUAAAGCGUCCGCAGUGGUCUUGUAAGUCUGCUGUUAAAGCGUGAGGCUCAACCUCAUAUGGGCGGUGGAAACUACAAAACUAGAGUACGUUCGGGGCAGAGGGAAUUCCUGGUGUAGCGGUGAAAUGCGUAGAUAUCAGGAAGAACACCGGUGGCGAAAGGCUCUGCUAGGCCGUAACUGACACUGAGGGACGAAAGCUAGGGGAGCGAAUGGGAUUAGAUACCCCAGUAGUCCUAGCCGUAAACGAUGGAUACUAGGCGUUGCUUGUAUCGACCCGAGCAGUGCCGUAGCUAACGCGUUAAGUAUCCCGCCUGGGGAGUACGCACGCAAGUGUGAAACUCAAAGGAAUUGACGGGGGCCCGCACAAGCGUGGAGUAUGUGGUUUAAUUCGAUGCAACGCGAAGAACCUUACCAGGGUUUGACAUGUCGCGAAUCUUUUGGAAACAGAAGAGU
rnacentral:rRNA from 1 species